AUGAACAAGAAGAUAACAUUUAAAGUUACAAGUAAUAAUAAUGUGUCUGAAUAUAAAUUUUUUAUAAAAUUUUUAUUUUUCAAUAUACACAAGAUGGCACCUACACACAGAGAGAGAGAGAGAGAAAGGAGUGACAGGGCAAUACAGAAAAGGAAAAGACAGAAAAGUAGGAAAGGAAGAAAACUACACCAGUGGAGUGAAGAGAGAAUGGCAGAGGCUAUUGAAGAAUAUGAGCAGGAGGUGACUGAAGGACACAAACCAAAAUUAAGGUUUCUAGCCAGGGCAUGGAACAUCCCAAAAUCAACACUGCAAAGGCGAGUGAAAGGGCUGGUGAGUGGCUACCGCUAUGCCUCAGGUAAGAGCCCCCUGCUCUCAGCUCAGGCUGAGAGUGAAUUGGCUAGCCUUGUUAAAAUGUUAGCUGAAAGGGGGUUCCCCCUGGAACGCAGUGAUAUACGUCGUAUUGCUUUCCAGUACACCAAAAUUAAUGGCAUCCCUGUUUUUUCUGCCAGUCACUACUGGUUUAAGGGGUUCAUGAAAAGGAAUCCAAACUUGAGCCUCCGCAAGCCAGAAUCACUCUCAGCUGCCAGGGCCCCUCGGCCGAAUCUCACAGUAGUUGAGCAAUGGUUUCAGACCUACACAUCACUCCUCCACCGCCUACAGAUCCAGGAGAUGCCAUCUCACCUGUGGAACUGCGAUGAUUCUGGACUGCAGGACCAUUUCAUCUCAAAAAAGGUUGUUGGGGGGACUGGCAAGUCCUGCUUCCAGGUAACAGCAGGGGAAAGAGGAGAAACGACAACAGUCCUGGCUGGGUUCAAUGCGGGUGGGACUUACACCCCCACAAUGGUAAUUUUUAAGGGAAAGAGGCUAAGGGCAGAGUGGCUGGAGGAACGACCAGAAAAAGCAAUUAUCCGUGUGUCAGAUAAUGGCUGGAUAAACUCCCAGCUGUUUUUGGAGUGGGGCCAGCGGUUUGUCCAGCAGCUGCCUAAGGAGAAUCCAAGACCCCAUGUCCUGCUCUUAGAUGGCCUUUACACCCAUGUCUUCAAUCUGGAAUUCUUGGAUCUCAUGAAGAAAAAUAAUAUACAUGUAGUGAGCUAUACUCCCCACACCACCCACGCCCUCCAGCCAGCAGACAGGUCGCUGUUUCGAAGCCUGAAACACCACUGGCAGGAACUGGGACAUAAGUGGACAAGGAAGACAGGCGGGAAGAAGCUUCCAAAACAGCUCUUCUUUUCUGUGUUCAGCCCCGCUUGGAAGAAGGCCGCCACUGUUGAGAAUGCCCAAGCAGGUUUCCGAGCCUCAGGGAUGUUUCCUGUCUCCAUGGAAGUCAUUCCAACUGACAUUUUCCAGUUUGCCAAGCCAAACAGUUUGCCAAGCCAAACCACUGAAAGGGUGAUUGAGGAAACAUCAGAAACCCUUCUGUUGUCAGAGGAGGACAUUUAUUUUGGUGUAGAAGAAGUGGUGGUAACCAGCCAGCCUGAUGAGGAUGCACAUACCUCCACCCUCACAAAGGGGCCAGCCCCCCAUGCCUCCACUCUCACAACUGGGACAGCCCCCCAUGCCUCCACUCUCACAACUGGGACAGCCCUCCAUGCCUCCACCCUCACAACUGGGGCAUCCCCCCAUGUCUCCACCCUCACAACUGGGCCACCCUCUCUACCCAGCACUUCAACAGCUGAGUGGGCUUCCAUUGUAAGGUUCUCAGACCUUAUUGAAAUACCUACAAGAGAGAGGGGAAAGAAGAGGAUGAUGAUGAGGCCACCCAGCUACCAGCUAACAAGCCAGGAACACUUCAACUUUGUCCAGGCCAAAGCAGACAAAAAGAAACCAAAAACAACCAAAGUGUGUAAGCCUGCUGGUGUCCGCCCCCCAAAAAGCUGCCGUUCCUCCCCUGCAAACAGUUCAGGGAAGUGAUCCCUGUACUGGUUGCAAGGAGGUCUAUGGGGAUGCAAGCGACCCAAAGGCCAAUGAGGAAUGGGUGGCUUGCUGCCACUGCCAACGGUGGUAUCAUGAGUCCUGCGGAGAGCUCAACAGACUUAUGGAUGACUUCAUCUGUCUUGGAUGUGUUCACUGAAGUUGUUAAAAGGUGGUAAAAGGAUGUAGGCUUAAUGAAAGUUCCAUUCAUUUAAUGUAGAGUGAAGUUUACAAUGUUACAAUUUUUGCAUUAGUUCCAGAAAUGCAUUUUUAAAAAAUCCUUCCAAGUAUUAAUUAAUUGAAGGUCUCCGUUGUUGUAUUUUGCGCUUCAUAAUGCGCCACACAUUUUCAAUGCAUAUAUUCUGGUUUUAUUUACGUUUUACACAACGUCCCAACUUCAUUGGAAUUGGGGUUGUAUUUCUCAUGUUCAUUUUAACCAUAAAAUAGUGUCCCACUUUCCCUAACAAAGUGUCCCACUCAACCUAAUUGUUUCCAGUUUGCUGAAGAGGGUGUCAGAUGUUGUUUAAAGAUGAACAGUUUGUUAAUAAAUACAUAAACUGGGAAAAUUUCA
ensembl:lncRNA